CCCUUACACCUGCUUGCCGAUCCCAGGGACGUGAUCUUAGGGACGCCGGUCCGUCUGAGCGGUGUCCCCGGGAGGCCGCGAGCCUCAGCACGUCCCCGGGGCCUCGGGGCCGCGUCUCUGUCCACCUCUGCCGAGCGACCUCUGCUGAGCGACCUCCGGGUUUGUGACCAGCGGCCCCGUUUGCCCUGCACACACAUGGGCUCUGGUGCAGAGUGAGUCAGGAGCCAGGGAGGUGGGGUGCCUCUGACACCAGCGGGGCCACACCAGCCCCUCUGUGGGGACAGCCCUCACCCCACUGUAAGCAACCCUGAGCGGAAGCCCAGUGCUGGCUCCCAGAAAGGAGCCGGGUGGGGAGGGAGCCUCAGGGGCAGAUCUGUCCCGCGUCCCAUGGCCUUGGGGCCCCGGGCAGAGGCCCUCACGCCCCCCCAUUUCUGAUCCCAGACCCACAGUGUCUUUUCCCUGGUUCUCCAUGGCUUUCCUGGGUGUGGGAGUCCCGGGACGGAGGGGGCCGGGUGGGGGUACCCUCAGAGCGCCUCCUCCCCCCGCGCCAGCAGCAGGGGGCGCUCGAGCUCAAGAAAGUGCCCACGAGGCCUAAACAAGCGUCUUUCCUAGAUAAAGCUAAGGAGGCCCAGCCCUGUGCCCCUCUGUUCGCUGGCGGUGGUGAUUACCCGCGGGACCCAGGCCUCUUCCGGACGGGCAGGUCCACGAUCAUCGCUGUGGCAGGUCCUCUGUGCCCCGAAAACCGUAGCCAAGGCCUCCAGCCAGAAGGAAUCAUGCCGGAUGCCAACCAUGAACACAAAAUGCUUUCGGAUCGUCUAACACGCAAGGGAAUUCGGUGUGGCCCCCCGGCCACCCAACAGCUUCGUGGCUGGGUGCUGUUUUCCCCACGACGCCUUCCAGCUUUUGGUCCCUGUGAGCUGUGAGGCCAGCAGCCACGGAGCGGGCAAGACCCAGGAGGAAGGAGACACGGGCUGCAGGUACCCCCGGGGGCAGGAAGGGGGCAGGCAGCCCACAGACCCUGUCACCCUCUAUGGUGAAUGUCCAGCUGUCACCCCUGGGCCCUGGCAUGUUCCCGUAGGGCUGCUUCCUGGUGACCAGGUCUGGGGGGCCAGCGGGGGGUAGGGCUGAUGGAGUGCCAGCCCCAGGGUCGGACCGCCGCCCCCGCCCCUGUAACCCCACCGGCCCUGGCCGAGGACCGGGCCUCUCAUCGUACGUGGGCCCCUGUGAGCAUGGGGUGACCCCUGACGAGGUCACCGUGCCUGCCUUGGCCCCGGCCGCGGCCUGCCUUGAACGGGGCUAAAAACGGCUGCGGCUGCUGGGCACCAGGCGGCCAGCCAGGGAGGCCAGCUCAGGGCGUGGGCGAGGCUGCGGCCUCCGACCCCGGCGCUCAGCUCCUCCUCGAGACUCCCCCUCUGUCCCCAGGGAGCCUCCUCUUCCGGCCUGCAGGUCAUUGGGAACACGUCGCCCGGGGGUUCGGGACCACCACGCACCGAGGCCCCACGGCAGCCAGACCUGCCGCCCCGCCCCGACUACCGUUGUUACGUCUCACGGGCCAUCGCACGGGAGACACGUGGCACUGAAGCUGUUACCAAAUAUUCGACAGCUAAAUUUGCACUGGAGUGAUCUGCCUGCUUUUCUGUAAACACGUCACAGGGGAAGAGGAGUGAUUCCCGCCCCCCUGUGCCGCAGGCAGACUCAGCGGCCUCGUGGGGCCCCGUGGCGCCCCACGCGUCAGGGGGAAGCCCCAAAUCAGUUAGAGCUUAGUGACGGGAAGAGGUCGUCCCUUCCCACCCACAUCCACAGGCCCAGGCGUGUCCAGGAGAGAGUCCCCUCCUCCGCCGUCCCCCCUCCAGGCCCCUGUCUUUCCACGUGCCCACUGAGGUCCUGGACCAGCUCCUUGGAAGUACCUGCUCCGAGUGGCCC
rnacentral:lncRNA from 1 species